UUAUUUGAUAUAGGAUACAACCUCUUUUACUGGGUAAACAAAAGUUAUUAAAAUAUAGUGGGCCUAAAAGCAGCCACCUUACUAAAAGCGUUACAGCUUAAUUUUAUUAUAUUUUUUAAUUUAUUAACCUAAUUUAACCCUUCAUUUGUACUGAACUAUUUUAUAUUUUAUAAAAGUUAUUAUGCUAGAACUAGUAACAAGAAACAGACUUUCUCCAAAAUGCAAGUGUAACCCAAAACGGACCCCCCAUUGAUAAUUAACGUCUAUAUUUUUAUUAUAGCAACCGCCAUCUAGAAAACCCUAUAACCUAAAACGUUAACCUUACACCAGAGCACCCCCGGAAAGAUUAAAAGAAAAAGAAGGAACUCGGCAAACCCCAGCCCCGCCUGUUUACCAAAAACAUCGCCUCUUGAAAAAUAUAAGAGGUCCAGCCUGCCCAGUGACGAAGUUUAACGGCCGCGGUAUCCUAACCGUGCGAAGGUAGCAUAAUCACUUGUUCCCUAAAUAGGGACUUGUAUCAACGGCAUCACGAGGGCUACACUGUCUCCUUUUUCUAAUCAGUGAAACUGAUCUCCCCGUGAAGAAGCGAGGAUUUUAUU
rnacentral:rRNA from 1 species